ensembl:lncRNA
CAUUUAUUUAGGCAAAAACCCAAAAAAUUCCAAAACAAAAUUCUGUACACACAACAUUAAUACUUAAGUGACGUCCUGAUUUAAAAUAUAGCAUGAUUCAGGUACAGAAUACUCCCAUUAUCUGGCCGGUGUGAGAACAGUGCCUUCCGUCCAGGUAACUGAGAGUCUUUAAAAUGAACGUACAUUACACUUUCCAAUGAAUUUUUCAUAUUCUUUGAAAGGUGUUCAACUCUUCCAUCACAAUUCAAGCAAAAAGAUAGCUUUUCUCACACUCACCACUCAGAAUUUACAGAGAGAAACCUACAAACAUCAGGGAUUUAAAAUUUUUUUAUACUUGCAGAUAUCUGAGUACAAAUCUUGAUACACAUCCUCUCAUUUUUGGAGGAAAAAAAUGCUCUCAAAGAUUUGCUUUUAUAAAAGUGUCUUCAGCUUUUACUAGCUAAAUUUACUUUAAAGCUGAUUAAAAUAAGAUUAAGAGGACCAAUUUAAAGUUUGCCCCAAAGUAAGCCCCGUAUUAAGCACCUACUAUUGGUAAACUAGAUUUAUGAUUUCUAGUAAAUAAUUUUGAUAAAUUUGGAUUUUAUUUUUGGGGGGAUUGAACUCAGGGAUCGAACUCAGGUCUUUGUGCUUGUGCAGCAGGUGGUGAAACCACUGAGCUAAAUCCCUGGCCCUGAAUUUGGAUUUUUAAAAUACUUUUUGUGGCUUGUUUUUUUGAGACAGAAUCUUAUGUUGCCCAGGCUGGCCUCCAGCUCAAGGGGAUCCUCCUGCCUCAACUUCCCAAAUGCUGGGAUUACAGGAGGGCACCCCCACACCUGGCUCGGAGGAAAUUAUUUUUAAUGGUCAUAAAGUUAGGCUGUUCUGUUUAAAAGACGCUUUACCUCAUUCAAAGUAAUGAAAAACACCAUUUAUAGUUGCAUAAUUCAUGUAAAAAAAAAGUGUGUAUAUGGGGGAAACAGGGUAAAAAGCUCUUCUGCUACCAAUUAACAUAGUGUCUUAUGUUAGGAUUUGGAAACCAAAGAAUGCAUUAUUAGGAGUGUACUGUAUCAUACAAAGUCUAUGAAAUACUAAAGAGAAAACAAUCACUCAUUUAAAGCCCAAUCAGCAAAUUUUCCAAUCAUACUGCUAUUCUCAUCACUGGACAAAGGUUAAUUUGGCAUUAUUCCUAAAGUAAACAGUUUGUUAAAUUAACACUGAAAAUUUAAAAUGUGUCAACAAAUAUACACAAACAUAAUAUACACAAAUGCAUCUGAAACUGCUGCAGUGGAUUUCAGAGGGAAAUCCAAAGUUUAUAAACCUCUCUGAAAGCUCAGAGCAGUGUUCUGCAGCUCUUGGGGUACAAAGUCCCCAAAUAAAUAAAAUACAGAUAAGUUUGGAAAAGUCCACAUCAGUUGACAGUGUGACACUGCUUUUAACAUGCGCCUUCAGUUUAAUAAUACUGUAUAUACUAUGGUUAAAGCUAUACAAUAACCAAUAAUUUAAACAUACUAUUAGAGGGCAGGAGAGAGGUACAUCUCAUCAUACAAGAAACAGUACCUUUUUGCUACCUCUGUUCAACCUUCAUACUGCUAUACAUUUUUCCAUAUGGGGCUAAUGCAUUUUACUUAAUUCAUUUUCUUUUGGGGGGAUAAUGCAUUUUAGAACACUAAAUCAAAUUUAUAGUUCAUUCAUCUAAUUUACCCUAAUUUGGCACACAAAGUAUUUUCAUUAAAAUGUGCUCAAAGGUGAUAGAAAAUGACCUAAUGUUAUCUUGACACAUGGCACAAUUAAAAGUACAGCCAAAUUAAAGUGGCUAGGGAGAAAAAGAGGCCAGCAUAAAAAGAUAUGUAAGAGCAACUUCCUAAACUGGGUAUGUAUGGUAUUAAACAUAAAUAUUUAAUUUUUUAGAAGUUUGCAAAUAAAAGACACCAUGAAGGCAAAUUCCUAUAGCAGUCUUUCACUCAUCACACUCAUCCUGAAGUUUAUUAGUGCUACUAAACUGCUUUCCUGUCCUGAAGUACGCAGAAAUAUUUAUGAUGAACUGUGGGUCUGAUAAAGUUUUCAAAAAUCUUCAACCAAGAAGAGCUGGGUAUAGUGGUGCCUCAGGCACUACAGGAGACUGAGGCAUGAUGAUCAUCCCUGGGCAACUUAGUGACAUGGCGAGACCCUGUCUCAAAAUAAAAAUAAAUUUUGACAGAGGGUUAAGGGUACAGCUCUGUGCAAAGGCUCUGGGUUUAAUUCCAGUACCUGAGGGAGUAAAAAAAGUCUGCAACUAAGAAAGAUGGGUAUAGUGGCAAACUAAUAUAAUCUCAGCACUCAGGGAGGCUGAGGCGGGAGGAUCAUGAAUUCAAGGUUAGUUUGUGCUACAUAGCAAGUUUUAAGGCCAAUCUGGAACAUAGCAAGAUCCUGUUCCACAAAAACAGAAAACCUCAACUAAAACCUUGGCUAAAUGGUCAACUAACCCCAAUUACUACUUGAUUUAUGUUUCUUUUUUAACUGAAAAAAGAAAAAGAAGCCGGGCAUGGUGACCCAUGCCUUUAAUCCCACCACUCAGGAGGCUGAGGCAGGAGGAUCACUGCGAGUUCAAGGCCACCAGCCUGAGCUACAUACAUAAUGAACUCAAGGCCAAUCUGAACUACACAGUGAGACCCUGUCUCAAAAAAAACAAACAAAACUUACUUGCUGCAAAUAAUAAAUUGCCUUAAUUAUGUUUGCUCUACUUUGUUUUACUCAAUAACAACACACAGCCUUACAAUCUAAAACAUGUCUUUCUUUUCUUUUCUUUCAUGUGUGUGGGGAGCUAGUGUGUAGUGCUAGGGACCAAGCCUAGGACUUUGUGCAUCCAUUUCCCUUAAUACAUCCAUAACUUGCUAUUGCUUAUGGACUGAUCUAUUGAUUUUUUUUUUUAAAUGGUAUCCAAAUAUCUGAGAACACCAAUGAUUUGAGCAAUGAGUGGCAUAACCUUAGUCUGAACUGUUCUUGGCACCUCUAAGUCACUGAAAGGUAACCUUUGAAGGCACCAAGUAUGUUACAUUCUAGUCUACAAUUUCAAGAGGGUUACAGAUUCUAACUGUAGAGACUGUCCAAUUAUACCUCAUAAUUUGAAUAUAUUCAUCCAUUAUAUUUUUAGCCAAAUUCAAGACUUUACAGACAAAUCUGUGCCUUAAUUAUAUAUACAAUUUUAAGAAGCAUCCCAACCACAAAGGCACUAAAACCUACAUAUUUCGGAUAUGGUCAAUUAUUUUGCUUUUUAAGACUCAGAAGUAUCUGGCUGCUACUGAUGCUCAAAGUAGUAAAUUUAAAUUUAAACAUUUUGAGUCUUCAUCUAUCAAGAAGUUACUCCAAAUAAAGGUGUCAGCUGUUUUCUGUACAUUUUUAGCCAUUUCUAAGAACUUUUAAAAGACAAGAAUCUAGCAGUAGUGUAUAAAGAUACAUUUUUGCUUUGAAUGGUAUAAAAUAAAAACUUCUCAGACUUUCCCUUAACUGUACUAGAAAGACCUGAAAAUGGUCAGCCUCACUAGCAACUUUCAAGCUAUCUCAGACCAUCCUAUUUUCUGAAUUUUGCCUUAGACAUUAAAAUUAAGAAAAAAGGCAAAAAAACAUUUUUUUUAAACUUUAAAAAAGAAUUUUGCACUUCCUCUGAAAUAAGCAUAAUCUGUGAAAAUGUAUAUUAUAAAAAGUUCCUUAAGCCAACUGAAUCAGAAUUAAGCCAUGUUUUUUGGUACUGGAGAUCGAACUCAGAACCUUGCGCUUUGAGGCAGGCACCAGACCCACUGAGCUAAAUCCCCGGCCCUAUUAAGCCAUAAUUUAACACAUCUUUUAAUGAUUUUACAUAUCUGCUUUCUUUUAGUUUAACUCAGUUUUUGUCCCUAUAAAGGAAUACCACAAAAUUCAAGUCCAUUUAUUGUGAUAGUGUCAAAAAUGCUGUCAGUGCACUAGUACACCAGCUCCUUUCUGAAGGCGCUUCUGACUAUCAUUUUAACAUCCUAUUUAAAAUCUCUAAUGAAGGGGCCAGAGAUUUAGCUCAGUGGUUUCACCGCCUGCCUUGCAAGUGCAAGGACCCGAGUUUGAUCUCCAGUACUCCCCCCGAAAAAACUCUAAUGAAAAUAAUUUGGCUAUGAAAAAUGCAAUCAUCUGAGAUUGCAGAUUAACCUUAUUAAUAAAAUAAAUUUUAAAUGAAAAUUAAGUUUCUUGGAGAUUUGUUGCCUCUCAAGUGCAAUUAUUGAUAUAAUGAUAUUUUAUUGUUUAAUAUACUUUAUCAAGUAUCUUAAAGGAAAGGCAAUUGUUCAAAAAAUAAUUCAUCAAAAAUAUUUCCUCUUAUCCACUGUAAUUAAAAUCAUUACAUUUAGUCAUUCAACAAUGGUCUUAUUCUUCUCUUGCAUUUUUGGCAGUAAAAUGUGGGCAUCUUUUUAUAACAUGAACAAAUUAAGAAGAUAUACGUAUUUGGAAAAAAUUCAGCUUUUUCUUUCUUUUUUUUUUUUUUGGUGCUGAGUAUUGAACUCAGGGCUGUACAUGCUAAGCAUGCACUCAACUUCUGAGCUACACCCCAACCCAAAUUUAACUUUUUGUGGCAAAGUUUACUGCUGUCAACUGUGUUUUAACUGAGCAGGUUAAUACCAUGAGUAGUCUCUAUCCCACUGAACAAAAAUGGCUUUAAAAUAGCAGGAAAAGAACAGCUACUUUUAACCAGAGACAAGUUUUUAAAAAUUUACAUUUUUAGAACAAUAUGACAUACAGAGAAUCAAUUAGGCUUUAACCCAGAGUGCUGUAAUAGUUUAUGGUGUGAUGCCUGGGAAAUAUUUCUAGAGAGCAACCCGCAGUCUAUAUAGGAAGUACCAGUCCACGUUUCCAGCCAUAAAUACAGGAACAAGGUUCUGCUCACUGUCUCCAAAGAGGUGGGCUCCAGAAGGGCAUCCUGUCCCAUUUUAGAAACUACACCAUGAAAGCAAUUCUCAUUUCCUAAACUCUAUUCUUCCUCAUUGUUUUUCUUCCCAAUACAUUUUUCUGCCAGCCACCCGGGUUCCACAGAGUGUGUAACUUCCAUGGGGAGACAAUGCAGGUUUCCAUUCUUUCACACUAAGAAGGGUGUCUUCUAAGAGAUACACAGAGGAUAAAGGCAUUUUAUACAGAAGCAGUAGAAACUUUACAACUGAAGCAGUGCCAGAAAUCCGAGGGCCACAAAAUGAUUGGAAGGGACUUUGAGAUCAGAAAAGUCUGGCCUAAGGGUUCGAUGGCAAACUUUAUCAGAAAACUGUAGAAUCUCAAGCACAGGUAAAUUCAAACACUGAAAGAUGUGGAAAAUUUUCUGAAAGGGAAUGAUAAAGAGACCUUUCUUGCCUCAUAAGUUAAAAAUCACAAGACAUAUUAGACUGUUCACAUGGGCAGUACUGUACAUUAUUAAUCCCAAACUGAUCUUAUGACUCUUGUCAUAGAAUCCAAAACACCACAGAGGGUAAGAUAUUCCAAGUGGACCAAUCACAAAAAGGAUCCUAGUGACUCAAUUAUCCAAUUACCUAUAGCUAUCAAUUUAGUCUAGCCUGGGCCUGCUUCUUACAGGAGGUGGCCUCCCAUGGCGCACAAUAUGUUUUUCUAAGCUGUCCAGAAUGGCCACAGCAAUCUGUUGGACAUGGGGAUCGGUCUGUUCAUGUUCUUUGAUGUUAUAUAAAUGUUGCAGUCCUCCUUCUUCAAUCAGCA